GACGAACGCUGGCGGCGUGCUUAACACAUGCAAGUCGAACGGAAAGGCCCUGCUUUUGUGGGGUGCUCGAGUGGCGAACGGGUGAGUAACACGUGAGUAACCUGCCCUUGACUUUGGGAUAACUUCAGGAAGCUGGGGCUAAUACCGGAUAGGAGCUCCUGCUGCAUGGUGGGGGUUGGAAAGUUUCGGCGGUUGGGGAUGGACUCGCGGCUUAUCAGCUUGUUGGUGGGGUAGUGGCUUACCAAGGCUUUGACGGGUAGCCGGCCUGAGAGGGUGACCGGCCAUAUUGGGACUGAGAUACGGCCCAGACUCCUACGGGAGGCAGCAGUGGGGAAUAUUGCACAAUGGGCGGAAGCCUGAUGCAGCAACGCCGCGUGCGGGAUGACGGCCUUCGGGUUGUAAACCGCUUUCGCCUGUGACGAAGCGUGAGUGACGGUAAUGGGUAAAGAAGCACCGGCUAACUACGUG
rnacentral:rRNA from 1 species